GACGAACGCUGGCGGCGUGCCUAAUACAUGCAAGUAGAACGCUGAAGGAGGAGCUUGCUUCUCUGGAUGAGUUGCGAACGGGUGAGUAACGCGUAGGUAACCUGCCUGGUAGCGGGGGAUAACUUUUGGAAACGAUAGCUAAUACCGCAUAAUAGUAGAUGUUGCAUGACAUUUGCCUAAAAGGUGCAAUUGCAUCACUACCAGAUGGACCUGCGUUGUAUUAGCUAGUUGGUGGGGUAACGGCUCACCAAGGCGACGAUACAUAGCCGACCGGAGAGGGGGAGCGGCCACACUGGGACUGUGACACGGCACAGACUCCUACAGGAGGCAGCAGGAGGGAAACUUCGGCAAUGGGCGGAAGUCUGACCGAGCAACGCCGCGGGAGGGAAGAAGGGUUUCGGAUCGGAAAGCUCUGUUGUAAGGGAAGAACGAGUGUGAGAGUGGAAAGUUCCCACUGUGACGGUAACUUACCAGAAAGGGACGGCUAACUACGUG
rnacentral:rRNA from 1 species